rnacentral:hammerhead_ribozyme from 1 species
GUACUGACGAAGAGUCCCAAACUAGGACGGAACAGCUGUCGAGUAC